rnacentral:rRNA from 1 species
CAUGCAAGUCGAGGGGCAGCAUGGUCUUAGCUUGCUAAGGCUGAUGGCGACCGGCGCACGGGUGAGUAACACGUAUCCAACCUGCCGUCUACUCUUGGCCAGCCUUCUGAAAGGAAGAUUAAUCCAGGAUGGCAUCAUGAGUUCACAUGUCCGCAUGAUUAAAGGUAUUUUCCGGUAGACGAUGGGGAUGCGUUCCAUUAGAUAGUAGGCGGGGUAACGGCCCACCUAGUCAACGAUGGAUAGGGGUUCUGAGAGGAAGGUCCCCCACAUUGGAACUGAGACACGGUCCAAACUCCUACGGGAGGCAGCAGUGAGGAAUAUUGGUCAAUGGGCGAUGGCCUGAACCAGCCAAGUAGCGUGAAGGAUGACUGCCCUAUGGGUUGUAAACUUCUUUUAUAAAGGAAUAAAGUCGGGUAUGCAUACCCGUUUGCAUGUACUUUAUGAAUAAGGAUCGGCUAACUCCGUGCCAGCAGCCGCGGUAAUACGGAGGAUCCGAGCGUUAUCCGGAUUUAUUGGGUUUAAAGGGAGCGUAGAUGGAUGUUUAAGUCAGUUGUGAAAGUUUGCGGCUCAACCGUAAAAUUGCAGUUGAUACUGGAUGUCUUGAGUGCAGUUGAGGCAGGCGGAAUUCGUGGUGUAGCGGUGAAAUGCUUAGAUAUCACGAAGAACUCCGAUUGCGAA